rnacentral:rRNA from 1 species
UACGGGGGGGCAAGCGUUGUUCGGAAUUACUGGGCGUAAAGGGCUCGUAGGUGGCCAACUAAGUCAGACGUGAAAUCCCUCGGCUUAACCGGGGAACUGCGUCUGAUACUGGAUGGCUUGAGUUUGGGAGAGGGACGCGGAAUUCCAGGUGUAGCGGUGAAAUGCGUAGAUAUCUGGAGGAACACCGGUGGCGAAGGCGGCUCACUGGACCGGUACUGACGCCUGAUGCGCGAAAGCGUGGG